rnacentral:rRNA from 1 species
AACCUGGUUGAUCCUGCCAGUAGUCAUAUGCUUGUCUCAAAGAUUAAGCCAUGCAUGUCUAAGUAUAAGCACUUGUACUGUGAAACUGCGAAUGGCUCAUUAAAUCAGUUAUCGUUUAUUUGAUUGUACUUUACUACAUGGAUACCUGUGGUAAUUCUAGAGCUAAUACAUGCGAAAAAUCCCGACUUCUGGAAGGGAUGUAUUUAUUAGAUUAGAAACCAAUGCGAGUCUUCGGGCUCGUUUUCUUGGUGAUUCAUGAUAACUUUUCGAAUCGCAUGGCCUAGCGCCGGCGAUAUUUCAUUCAAAUUUCUGCCCUAUCAACUGUCGAUGGUAAGGUAGUGGCUUACCAUGGUUAUAACGGGUGACGGAGAAUUAGGGUUCGAUUCCGGAGAGGGAGCCUGAGAAACGGCUACCACAUCUAAGGAAGGCAGCAGGCUCGAAAAUUACCCAAUCCCAAUUCGGGGAGG